UACGAAGGGGGCUAGCGUUGCUCGGAAUGACUGGGCGUAAAGGGCGCGUAGGCGGAUGGCACAGUCAGAUGUGAAAUUCCCGGGCUUAACCUGGGGGCUGCAUUUGAUACGUGUUGUCUUGAGUUCGGAAGAGGGUCGUGGAAUUCCCAGUGUAGAGGUGAAAUUCGUAGAUAUUGGGAAGAACACCGGUGGCGAAGGCGGCGACCUGGUCCUUUACUGACGCUGAGGCGCGAAAGCGUGGGGAGCAAACAGG
rnacentral:rRNA from 1 species